AUCUAGCUAGUCAGUCCCAAAUAGGACGAAACGCGCGUUCUGGAU
rnacentral:hammerhead_ribozyme from 1 species